rnacentral:rRNA from 1 species
CUGGCUCAGGAUGAACGCUGGCGGCGUGCUUAACACAUGCAAGUCGAGCGAAACACUUAGAUCUGAUUUCUUCGGAAUGAAGAACUUUGUGAUUGAGCGGCG